AGAGUUUGAUCCUGGCUCAGAGUGAACGCUGGCGGCAGGCCUAACACAUGCAAGUCGAGCGGCAGCGCGGGGGCAACCCUGGCGGCGAGCGGCGGACGGGUGAGGAAUGCGUCGGAAUCUGCCUCUUUGUGGGGGAUAACGUAGGGAAACUUACGCUAAUACCGCAUACGACCUACGGGUGAAAGUGGGGGACCGCAAGGCCUCACACAGAGAGAUGAGCCGACGCCGGAUUAGCUAGUUGGCGGGGUAAAGGCCCACCAAGGCGACGAUCCGUAGCUGGUCUGAGAGGAUGAUCAGCCACACUGGAACUGAGACACGGUCCAGACUCCUACGGGAGGCAGCAGUGGGGAAUAUUGGACAAUGGGCGCAAGCCUGAUCCAGCCAUGCCGCGUGUGUGAAGAAGGCCUUCGGGUUGUAAAGCACUUUUGUCCGGAAAGAAAUCCUUUCAGUUAAUACCUGGGAGGGAUGACGGUACCGGAAGAAUAAGCACCGGCUAACUUCGUGCCAGCAGCCGCGGUAAUACGAAGGGUGCAAGCGUUACUCGGAAUUACUGGGCGUAAAGCGUGCGUAGGUGGUUCGUUAAGUCUGAUGUGAAAGCCCUGGGCUCAACCUGGGAAUGGCAUUGGAUACUGGCGACCUAGAGUGCGGUAGAGGGGUGUGGAAUUCCCGGUGUAGCAGUGAAAUGCGUAGAUAUCGGGAGGAACAUCUGUGGCGAAGGCGACACCCUGGACCAGCACUGACACUGAGGCACGAAAGCGUGGGGGAGCAAACAGGAUUAGAUACCCUGGUAGUCCACGCCC
rnacentral:rRNA from 1 species